UACGAAGGGGACUAGCGUUGUUCGGAAUUACUGGGCGUAAAGCGCACGUAGGCGGAUUUGUAAGUCAGGGGUGAAAUCCCGGGGACUCAACCUCGGAACUGCCUUUGAUACUGCAAAUCUCGAGUCCGAUAGAGGUGGGUGGAAUUCCUAGUGUAGAGGUGAAAUUCGUAGAUAUUCGCAAGAACACCAGUGGCGAAGGCGGCCAACUGGUCCGGUACUGACGCUGAGGUGCGAAAGCGUGGGGAGCAAACAGGG
rnacentral:rRNA from 1 species